GGAUUGUCUUUACGAGAUUGCUAGCACGAUCAUAGUGGUGAUUAUUUGAUAGUUCUCUCUUUCAUUCGACGUCUGUUGUUGGUGUCGAACUGAAGAACAUCCAAACCAAUUCGUUUAAAGUGCAUUUCGAGAGAUAAUUCAUUUAACUCCCUUUUUAUAUUCAGAUUUUUGAUUAAAAUGCACGAACAAAAUUUGCCUACGUGAACAUAAGAAAACGAAUGUAAACAUAGCAUUCACGAUAUUUAAGUGAAAUAAUAAGAUAUUAUUUUAGCCGAAAAAUCAUCUAAUGAAAUAUUGACAGAAGAUAAAUGUAUUACAAUAGAUAUACUUGGAAUUUUUUUUGUGGUUUUUUUUUUCCUUUAGAUUAAUAUAAGUACAAAUAUCUACAUAUAAAUUAAUAAUCAUUUUUAGAUAUCUUUAUGAAAACACUUAUUUUUAUAAUAGCAAGAAUGUCAACACGAAAGUAGUCUAAAUGUCAUGAUUUUUAUUUUUAUAUGAUUUUUAAAUUCUUUCAUUUUCUUUUCCUUUUCACUAUUGACUUCCCGAAGAGGGUCAGUUGGUGAGGGUCAUUGCAAAUGGCCACGAGCCUGGACACUAAAAAAAGGAAAAACCAAAAUAAAAUAAAAUAAUAAUUUUAAAUGAAACAUUUCUAAAAAAUUAUUCACAUUAAUAUUGAUCAUACCUCAUAGAAUGAUUGAUAUUUACAUUAACAAUGAUCGCAUACCUCAUUAGAUAGCCAACAUCUUUGUUAAUGAUAUCCUGACAAAUAUCAGUUGUCCAGCGGCAUAUUUUUCAAAACCCAACUUGAAGCCGAAGUUCCAUGUAGCUUAUUUGCAUUGUACUCUUAACUCAAAUUGGGUAUGAGUUUUCCUAGUUUUGUAAUAUAGGUCAGUCAAAUAUGUGUUAAAUAUGAGUUGGAUUAGAUAUAAAUCACUAGAUUUACAUUGUAUGAAAAAUGGGUUAAAACUAGUUAGGUGGGUAUAUUUGGGUUAAUCUAUUUUCGACCCAAUAAAACAUAAGAUUUUUACCACUAAUGAGCGAAAUUUACAGUUGUUUUCCAUUCGAGGGGGAAUCCAUUCUCCUGCACCAAAAGUCAUCGACAUCGAGCGAGGUUGCGUUCGUGUACUCGCCGGACCCUCUUGCACUAGCUGACCCCCUCACGACGCUCGGGUAAAACGUCAAGAUCCUCUCCGAAGCACGCAAGACGGACGGUUCCGAUCAAUCGGUUGACCGCGGCACACGGUAGUCCUCGUCGCGUCCGAUCACUACCCCCCGCCCCGCCCGGAUCAAACCCCGCGCAAUUUGAAUUCGCUUCGCACCUUUUCACGAACCCGACAAGAGUGGCGAACACAGCAUCCCCGAAUUUCGAGGUUUCAGAGAAAUAGAGAGAGAGAGAGAGAGAGAGAUGAAGAGGAAGAGCGGGAAGCGGGCCGGCAGCCACGGCGGCGACGGGAGGAGGAGGAGCGCCGCCGCCGCCGGGACGAAGGGGGCGGCGAUGGCGGAGAGCUGGGAGGCCCAGCUAGGGCAGGUGUCCCUCCUCUCCCUCCGCCCCACCCAUCACCACCACCGAUCCUCUUCCUCCUACGCCGAUCCCGAUGCCGAGCCCGAGCCCUCUCUCCGCCUCCCGGACCUCCUCGAAUCCGACCCCUCCUUCCUCCCGGCCUCGGCUCACGACGCCGAGGCCGGCGCCGGCGCCGAUUGCAUCCUCAGCCAGGAUUUCUUCUGGUAAUUACUGUUGCCCUGUGCGUGCCGAUGAGCUCAUUUUUGGGUUUUUUUUUUCUCUUUGGCUUUGUUGGCUUCGAUUGGAGUUUAGCUCGAUUGGUUUAUAUGCGGAGCUGGUGGUCCAGUUUUCCCUUUCGUUCGCCCCCGUUUAGGGAGAAAACUGGACUACAAUGGACGCAAACGCUACGAGUAGUGUCGUAUUGCGUGGUUGCUUGAAUGAGAUGCGGUGUGGAUUUGAAUGUAGCAUCUUUUGUAUUGCGCUGCAAAUCAGCAGAUGCUGCUUUUAAGCUGUGCUCAAAGACCGUAGUCGGAGCUAGGCGUCAUCAUCGGUGAAUCAGAAUUUGAAAAAUGAAGACAAAAUGUGGAAUUUAGGCCUCGUUUUGUAUGUUGAUGUGUUUACUCUGCUUUGGGCAGAAUGAAUGGAGUUCAUUAACUUCAAGUUUUCUUGAUAACUUUGUUUUGUGUUGUCUUUGUCUUGGAUGCAGUACUCCUGAUUACAUCACCCCGGACAAUCAAAAUCUAGUGAAUGGGUUGGAUCAUACCAAGGUAAGGUAGAUGGGUUGUUAUUCUCUGUUUUGUCUUACUUUGAUGUAAUAUUUUUGGCUUAAAUUUGGCCGUCCUAUUCAUGCAGGAUAACUUUUCUUGCCCUAAAUCACCAGAGAAACUUCACUCGACUAAGACCAAAAGGUUUCGGCAAGGUAUGUUUUAGCUGUGCCGUUGAUGGUUUUGAAAAUUCUCUUUUGCAUGUUAGUGACUCCGAUAGAUUUUUUUUUUUUGAUGGCUAUGAUACUAUUGUAAUCUGUUAACAUAUUUGGGGCUUCUGGGCAGUCAUGAGAAUGCACUGGCCUCAUUGUCAAAUGUCCUUAUGGGCAAGAUUAUGAAUUACUGUAGGAUGCAAUGGAAUGCUGGGUUCAUACACUUGGGAUAGGCUGUGAAUCUGAAGCUUUUGUCUGGGUUGACCAAAGGGACGAAAAUUAUUCUCCUUGGUGGGGUCCUCUAACAGAAUAGUUGGAUUCUACUGAGCUGGUUUAAUCAUUCAACCGCGUCACUCCUUAGAUGGACAUUUUUUCUUUUUUUGAACCAAUCGAUAGGGAAUAUCGCUAGAUAAAUCUUCUCUAUAAGUAUCAUGAUCUUUAGUAUGCAUAAAAAAGCAGGUGAGUAGUUGAUGUGAAUUGGAAUGUGUGAGAUAAAUGUAGAUUUGAUUUUCUCUUUCAGGGAUAAUUCUCUAGAUGUGUGGAGUUUGUGGGUUAUCUAUCAAUGAUAGUAUUGAGAGAAUUUUUUCUUAGGUAUGCUGUAUUCUUUUCUAUGAAUUCAAUCAAGCCUUUGAGAUCCUUAUAAUCAUCUAUAAUUUUUUAUCAACCUCUUUAAAGGUCCAUCAUUUCAGUGAUGAUGCUUGAUCAGGUUUUGUGCUUCUACCGUUGGAAAAUUCUUUUUAUUAUUUAUUUAUUUAUGGAUCAUAUGCUAUUAUAAGUAAUUCAUAAUGAUUAUGAUAACAUUAUGGGAGUUUCAAAGAGCUGGAUCCUCCAUCCAGGUUCCCUUGCUUGAGCAAGUCAAAGAAUGUUCAAGGAAAGCGAUCAUUUGAGGACUGAAUUGAGAUAUUAUACUGAAGUCUUGGGCACAUUCAUAUUGAGACAUAUCAUAGCCACAUGAUAAAUGCGAUCACCACUUUGCUUCUCCUGUUCAAACUUUCUAAAUUGUCAAUGCCCAUUUUUGAGUAGUAUUGAUUCAAUUUUUUCAUCUUCGUGCACUUACAGAUUGGACAUAAACAAAGAUAUACGGUUUAGCUCUUAUCAGCCAUUUCUCUUAUUGAUGUUGAAAUUUCCAAUUGUAAUUGUUAUUAGCAGUAGUUCAAAUUUUAGGUGCUUACUGUUGUGACUUUCCUCAGAUCAAGUCAUCCUGAAUCCUCAAAGUCCCAUUUUUUCUGGAAGUCAACAAAUAGAGGAUCUUGCAGAGGAUACUUUGGAAAUUGAAGAAGCUAGAAUUGAGAAAAAAGUAUCAAAUGGCAAGCAGCAGACACACAGUUAUGUCCCACAGUCUGCCAUUGCUUUACGCUGCAGGGUCAUGCCCCCUCCUUGCAUUAGAAAUCCAUAUCUCAGUGAUGCCUUGGAGACUGACAUAGAUCCUUUUGGAAAUCAAAGGUCCAAAUGUGCUGGUAUGUGUAUAUGCCUCUUAAUUAUUGUGUCACGUGGCAUGUACAAAUUAUAAUCAGUCUUCUAAAAUUGUGUGUACUAUAUAUGCCGUGUCUUAAAAAAAAAAAAAACAUAUAGAUAAUGGAAAUUACGAAUGGUUUGUUUGCUGUUUCAUUUAAGAUGCUUACAUAAGUUUAUUUUUAUGCGAAAAUAUGCAGGCUUAUUCUCUUCUAUUACCGGAGGAGAUGGUCUCUCACGGUACCACACUGAUUUCCAUGAAAUUGAGGUCUCUAUUCCAUAUUAAAGCCUUUUGCAAAUAUAGUAUAUAUCUACUCUUUAAUAUACAGAAAUUCAAGUUUCUUUUGGGUUGACUUGUUAAUUUGCAAAUUCUUCCUAGCAAAUUGGAGCUGGUAACUUCAGUCGUGUUUUGAAAGUUUUGAAGAGAAUAGAUGGUUGCUUGUAUGCUGUGAAGCAAAGCAUCAGGCCAUUGUAUCAAGAUUGGGAAAGGUACUUGUGUCAUGCACCGCUUUCUGACAUUCACCACUUAUUUGAACAGAAUAUGAUACCCACUGUUUUGCAGGAGAAAAGCUUUGAUGGAAGUACAAUCUUUGGCAGCUUUAGGUAUCAAUGCCAGUUUCAUUACCUCAAUUUCGUAUUCUGCUGCACGAUUUUCCCUAAUAUCUUUGCAUGUUUGUUGCAGGCUCUCACGAGAACAUUGUUGGAUAUUACUCUUCUUGGUUUGAAAAUGAGCAUCUUUACAUUCAGAUGGAGCUCUGUGAUUACAGCUUAUCUAGUCAGAAGUCUACACGUUUAACCGAAUGGGAUGCAUUGACAGCUCUAUAUCAGGUUAACCACAAAUUUAUGUGAUGAUAGCAACGUUUUAUGAUAUGAAUGGCCUUUAUUAAGUUAUUCCAUCAAGCAACCCAUGAAGCAAUGGUCAAUGCAUUUAGAAUUAGAAAUUGAUUCUGGCGUUAAAUGAGCAUAGUCUCCUCUCUUCAAGUAGUAGGUUCACUUUGUAAGCAAUUAAGUUGUCACUUGAAUCUUAAAAAUACAGUGGAAAGAAAAGCAGCUUUAUUUUUAUUUUUAUUUUAAUUGUGCUUGUCAAAGAGUUGAACUCUAGAGCUUCCAUCUUUGGGGGGGAGGUGAUACAUGUUGAAGAUCAAUAGAAAUCUUGUGAACACGUAAUGCGGGGUAAAUGUGCAUUUACUUUCAUUUGCAGACUGGAAUAAUUGACAGUGGGAAAUAUGUCUAGCAUGUGUGAGUGUAAAAAUGGAGAAUAAGAUAGAAAAACUUGCUUGGAUAGGGCUCACUACAUUGUUUGUCCAUGAGGUUUUACCGGUGUUUGUUGCAUGCACUAUUCCAUUAAAUAUUUUAACUGUUCAAGUGGGAUUCUAUACUUUGGGUUUCUGAUUGUUUCAAUAAUGGUCAUAUACCAUCCGAUCAUCCAUCAUGUCUUUUUCAUCAUGCUUGCAUAGAGAGGGGAAUUUAGGUGCUCAUAUUGCUCAAAGAACUUAAAAUUGGGAUUUAUGAAUGUGGCACGUCCUUUUCCAAACGAUAGGUUCAGUUACAAAAAAUGAAAUUGAAAAAGUUCUUCCUUCUUGGAAAGAAUACUCAAACUAUCAACUUCCUAGUGUGGGAUUUGUGUGACCAGUGGCUAUGUGAAUGCUACUGAUGAGCUUCACCGGAUAUAGUACUUGUGUCUUUCUAUUGUACUGUGGUUCACAAAGCUUCAAUUAUUUGUAAGAUGUCGUUUUGGGUUAUCAGUAAUUCAAGUAUCUCUGUGAUCAAGUCCUGGAUAGUGCAGUGAGCAUGCAAUGGAAAAUUUGGCUAUAGCUCCUUUCCUCAUGACACAUAUAACAGCCCAUAUUAAUUUCCUUUGACAAGAUAUAGUGGCCUAUUGUGGAUUUAUUUUUCGUAAUCUUUGUCAUGAAGGUUAAUGGUUUGUCUCCAUGAUUUACACUUGCUAAUGUCAAAUUACCUGCAGCUUGCGAAAGCAUUGCUUUUUAUGCAUGAAAGAGGAAUUGCCCACCUUGAUGUUAAGCCGGAUAAUAUUUAUGUCAAGAACGGUGUAUACAAGCUUGGUGAUUUUGGUUGUGCGACUCUCCUCAAUAGCAGCCUACCUGUUGAGGAAGGUGAUGCACGGUAUAUGCCUCAGGAGAUCCUGAAUGACAAUUUUGAUCAUCUCGAUAAGGUCGAUAUAUUCUCCAUGGGAGCUUCUAUGUAUGAGCUUAUAAGAGGGUCACCUUUGCCGGAAUCUGGGCCUCAGUUUCUGAAUCUUAGAGAGGGAAAGCUGCCCCUUCUCCCUGGCCAUUCACUGCAUUUCCAGAAUUUGCUUAAGGUUCUGUGUCUUCGUUUCUUUCAAUGGGACUUGUGUCGUUUUGUUUUUCGCUUUUGAGGAAAACUGUCAAUUUUGUGGCUUUCUGAUGUUCUUUUACUUCUUUAGGUCAUGAUGGAUCCAGAUCCAACCACCCGGCCUUCUGCGAAAGAACUAGUGGCUAAUCCAAUUUUUGACAGGAUUUGGAGGAAUGGAAAGACUUAAGCCAAGACAGUAAUCGGAUUUCACCUCGGACAUAAAUAAUUAACUGCAGGUGCUGAAUGUAUCAGUUACCAUUUGGGGGAAGUUGACUACGAAGGUAUUAGGAAAAUCUAGUGCCAAUUUUGCUCUUUAUUCUCUGGCUAAUGUGUGCACCAAUUUUUGUGCUGUAAUGGUGCUGGAUCGGUAUAUGGGAAAAACCUUAGAAAUGGUGUUGUAAGUCUGACCCCAAGUGAAUGUCUGGUGUGUAAUGGAAAAGCCAUGUUCAUCUCAGAGUCCGAAUGCCAUUUGCUAUCUGCCGUGAAGAAUCUGU
rnacentral:lncRNA from 1 species